ACCCGAUCUACUCUAGAUAGAGUGAGGUAUUGGCUUUAGGACGCGUAAGCGAUCUUUAGCUGGAAUGUAUUAAGGCUGAUGAGUUCCCAAUGGUGGCCUCAAUGUGUGCUAGCGGACAGAUGUUUCGAUGUCACAUUGGCGGUUCCAAUGCAAGCUCUAUAAACGGCCUCCUGCUGGUUCUGUUGUGUGUGGGGGAGGAGGGGACGGCGACAUGGUCAAACAUGCUGUCAUCAUCACCAUCAUCAUCACAUGACAUGAUCCAUCAUCAUAUCUA
rnacentral:misc_RNA from 1 species